UACAAGUAUUUAUUUAUUUAUUUUACACAGCCUCUCUUGGUGCAUAUUCCCAAACACAGUCUGAAUUAAUUCAGCACAACCCAGUUUAGAGAUAAAUAAGUCUGGAGCUUUCAGAAAGUUUAACUUUUACUGUCUCUUAAAUGAGCCCGUCCUGUCCUGUUGCUGUGCCAGGGCAGAGUGAUACUCAGUACUGAACAGCAGUUUGUGUUCAGAUAACUGAUCCUGUGUGUUUACUUACAUGUUUACCCUGUGGAGCUUGUUGUCCUCGUCUUUCCUGCUGUAUUUCUGUUGCUAUGUACAUUGAAAACAACGUAAAACCGGAGUCAGAUUCCUUUGGGACCCAGGAGACCCUCUUACAAUGAGUUUCAGCAGAAUCUGGAGGAAUAAUGAGCGAACACGGAGGGAGGGAAGCCGACAGGGGAGUGAAAACAUACAGACAAACGCGCUGAAGGUUGCAGCAGUGACAGAAAA